rnacentral:rRNA from 1 species
GCACAAGCAGCGGAGCGUGUGGUUUAAUUCGAUGACAACACGAAGAACCUUACCAGGGUUUGACAUGCAAGUGGUAGGAAACCGAAAGGCGACCGACCCUUCGGGGAGCUUGCACAGGUGCUGCAUGGCUGUCGUCAGCUCGUGUCGUGAGAUGUUCGGUUAAGUCCGCUAACGAGCGCAACCCUCGCUGUGUGUUACAAGUGUCACACGGUACUGCCGGUCUUAAGCCGGAGGAAGGUGGGGAUGACGUCAAGUCAGCAUGGCCUUUAUGUCCUGGGCUACACACACGCUACAAUGGCCAACACAAUAGGUUGCUAAGCCGCGAGGUGGAGCCAAUCCUCAAAGUUGGUCUCAGUUCAGAUUGCAGGCUGCAACCCGCCUGCAUGAAGAUGGAGUUGCUAGUAACCGCAGGUCAGCUAUACUGCGGUGAAUACGUUCCCGGGGCUU